rnacentral:rRNA from 1 species
AAUUGAAGAGUUUGAUCAUGGCUCAGAUUGAACGCUGGCGGCAGGCCUAACACAUGCAAGUCGAACGGUAACAGGAAGCAGCUUGCUGCUUCGCUGACGAGUGGCGGACGGGUGAGUAAUGUCUGGGAAACUGCCUGAUGGAGGGGGAUAACUACUGGAAACGGUGGCUAAUACCGCAUAACGUCGCAAGACCAAAGAGGGGGACCUUCGGGCCUCUUGCCAUCAGAUGUGCCCAGAUGGGAUUAGCUUGUUGGUGAGGUAACGGCUCACCAAGGCGACGAUCCCUAGCUGGUCUGAGAGGAUGACCAGCCACACUGGAACUGAGACACGGUCCAGACUCCUACGGGAGGCAGCAGUGGGGAAUAUUGACACAAUGGGACGCAAGCCUGAUGCAGCCA